UACGGAGGGUGCGAGCGUUGUUCGGAAUCACUGGGCGUAAAGGGCGUGUAGGCGGUCCGCUAAGUCUGAUGUGAAAGCCCGGGGCUCACCCCCGGAAGGGCAUUGGAAACUGACGGACUCGAGUCCCGAAGAGGAGGGUGGAAUUCCUGGUGUAGCGGUGAAGUGCGUAGAUAUCAGGAGGAACACCGGUGGCGAAGGCGGCCCUCUGGACGGUGACUGACGCUGAGACGCGAAAGCGUGGGGAGCAAACAGG
rnacentral:rRNA from 1 species